rnacentral:lncRNA from 1 species
AAAAAUUUGCUAAAUUUGAUAAAAAAAUUUGCUAAAUUUGUUAAAAAAUUUGAUAUUCUCCAUAAAUGAGCCUAAUUUGUUAGAUACAUCAUCAAACAUGGAAAUUAAAUUUUUUUCAGGGUUGUCCUUUGAUCGCUUCCUUUUACCAAGUUUGGAAACAGAAUCUUGAUCAGCUUCUUCUGUAGAAGCGCUAAACAUCGAGUCAUUUGUUUCAUUCCCCAUAUUCUCUAUUGCUUCUGCAAAAUUUUCAGCAUGACUACCCGUUGCUCGAUCAUUCCCCAUCAACUCUGCAAGUGCAUGAAAAUGCGGAAACGAAACACCCCACAUACCUCUAGCAUCCUUAUGACUCUGAAAAUUCCAAACAUAAAUACAUUAAUCGAUAUGAAGCAGAAACAAUUGAUGCAAAAACAUAUCAGCUUAGUCAUUAUUGCAGGCAAACCUAUUCAGAUGUUGCAAAACAAGGCAGAUUCUGUGUUGUAAAAUUCUAAUAUAAUUGUUUAAGUAUUUAAACACCACAAACAUGCAUUCUACUUGUUUAUUCAUUGUAUCCCUCAUAGGAGCACUGUGUUAUCCUCCUGCUUUUCA